UACGGGGGGGGUAAGCGUUGUUCGGAAUUACUGGGCGUAAGGGGCUCGUAGGCGGCCAACUAAGUCAUACGUGAAAUCCCUCAGCUUAACUGGGGAACUGCGUGUGAUACUGGAUGGCUUGGAUUUGGGAGAGGGAUGCGGAAUUCCAGGUGUAGCGGUGAAAUGCGUAGAUAUCUGGAGGAACACCGGUGGCGAAGGCGGCAUCCUGGACCAAUAUUGACGCUGAGGAGCGAAAGCUAGGGGAGCAAACGGG
rnacentral:rRNA from 1 species